GCAUAACGCGAAGAACCUUACCAAGGCUUGACAUCCCCUUGACCGGCACAGAGAUGUGCCCUCCUCCUUCGGGGCGAAGGUGACAGGUGGUGCAUGGUUGUCGUCAGCUCGUGUCGUGAGAUGUUGGGUUAAGUCCCGCAACGAGCGCAACCCUUAUCCUUAGUUGCCAGCAUUCAGUUGGGCACUCUAAGGAGACCGCCGGUGACAAACCGGAGGAAGGUGGGGAUGACGUCAAGUCAUCAUGGCCUUUAUGGCCAGGGCUACACACGUGCUACAAUGGUAAGUACAGAGGGAAGCCAAGUCGCGAGACGGAGCCAAUCCCAGAAAACUUAUCGUAGUCCGGAUCGGAGUCUGCAACUCGACUCCGUGAAGUCGGAAUCGCUAGUAAUCGCAGAUCAGCAUUGCUGCGGU
rnacentral:rRNA from 1 species